rnacentral:rRNA from 1 species
CGGCGGACGGGUGAGUAAUGCCUAGGAAUCUGCCUGGUAGGGGGGGACAACGUUUCGAAAGGAACGCUAAUACCGCAUACGUCCUACGGGAGAAAGCAGGGGACCUUCGGGCCUUGCGCUAUCAGAUGAGCCUAGGUCGGAUUAGCUAGUUGGUGAGGUAAUGGCUCACCAAGGCGACGAUCCGUAACUGGUCUGAGAGGAUGAUCAGUCACACUGGAACUGAGACACGGUCCAGACUCCUACGGGAGGCAGCAGUC